CUUUGAGAGAACAGAGCGGCAACACGAUGUGGUUCUUGUUCCGUUGCAGGCGUACAGAGAAAUCCCUAAAUCCUUUCUCUUCAAUCUCUGCAAGCAGAUAUCUUUUCUUCUCUUGCAAUUGAAAAGGAAGGUCACAUGCGCGCUUAUGUCCAUAUCUUUCCUUUUCGAUUCUUUUUGUGUUAUCUUUUUCGUGUGUGGGGGCAAGAACUUCAAAGAAAUCCUUUUGGUUCUUAUUUGGUAUGUUUUGGCCGAUCCAAAUGAGUUCUUACUUUGAAAAUUUAUGUGAGAUCUCAAUUUCACCCGGCCUAUAGUUGAUUCAUAUCGGGCAGCCUCAAGGUUUUACAUGUUUUCUUUCAUGUUCUAAUUCAGGGAACUGCCCUAAAUAUUCCUUCUACUUUUCUAUAUCUCUCGCAUGUACAUUCAUGGUCUUGCUGGUGAGUAUAAUAAAACAAUUUGAAGAUGGAGGAGCUAAAACUGGAAUUAAAGAAGGAAUGGAGAAUUGUAGAGAAAGGAGAAAGAGAAAUCAGUUCGUGUCUGUAGAAUCUAUUUUAUUUGAAGUAAUGUCUAUGUUAUUUCCAAAACAUGAUAAUGGUAAAAUUUUGGGUUUAGUUUUCUGUUCUGUGUCUGGGUUAAGGAAUUCGAUUUGUGUUUGUAUGGGCAGUGAGGAGGAAAGUGAGAAAGUCAUGCACCACUCUUAUGAUCUUCGGGUCUGUGCUGAUAAAUUUCUCUACACCCUUAUCUGAUCUGAGCUCUAAUUGUAUAUAGUUUUCUUAAUUUACUUUUUUAAAUUUCAGUUUGAAUUUGAGAAUAGAGAAGGAACCAAAUGAUGUGAUCUUCUUGGGAAGAUCGUACCAUGAUGCGGACCGCACAGCAAUGCGUCUGGGGAAACUCUUUGGUUGCUGAUGGUUCUUUCUCUUUCUGCUUUUUUCUUUUCGUCCACUUUGGUUUUUUGGUAAAGUUUACUAAUAUUGGAUCUUUUGUUUGUAGAGAACGAAAUAUUUAUAUAUGCUUUAUUUUCUGCUCAAUCCCCCAGCAAUCUGUGCUUAUAUAUUUUGCUAAAGGGUGGUUUUGUCUGUGACUUUUGUUGGACAAUUUUUCUGGUCGGUCUGUGGCUGGCUGGGGAUUUAUUAUUACAAGUUUGGAAUAAAUUCUGCUACAAGUUUUUGCUGCUUCAUACCUUUACCUUGCCUAAUAAGCCUUUCAACAGUUUGUUUGGCUGAUUUUAGCUCCUGGAUUAGGCUGGGACAUUUCUUUUCAAGAAGAGUCAUACUGGUGUUCGUUGGCCCUGAUGGGAGCAGAAAUGGUCCCACCUUUUGAAGAUUCAAGAUACGAACAUUCAAGUUAUUGUGAAAUCAACUUCUGAGAGCUCAAUAGAUCUUCAUGAAGUUACUUGGGAUUGAAAUGCCCAGGUUAGACAUUCAAAUUAAAGUGCUAAAGCAAUGAAAGGCAAUAUCUAGUUCUAUUAAGAUAGUCGAAAUUGAAGCAUUACUGUCUCCUGCAGAGUAGAGGUUUUACAUAUUUAAUUGUGGAAGGGAUUUGUAAAUCAAUUAUACGUAUAUAUUGCUAAGUUGGGAUUA